GAGACAACAGAAGAGAACAAAAUGGAUAAAAUACGAAAUUAGAAUGUGUGGACCAUGGUAUUAUGGUAUGUAGCAACGUACCUCACUACUGGGUGCUUGGGAGGUACGGAUGGGUCCAUGGGGCUGAAAUAACAAAACAAAGCAUUUCAGGGAAAUAUAAAUAGAAACGAAGGUUAAUCGAGUGCUUGUUACUCGUCUACGAUGGUCAUACAUGUUGUCAAUGGUACAAAAAUACGUCCACGUCCAUUUCCUGUCUCAAACGUUCGAGCAUCUACAGUUCGAACUAAAGCUAAUUGCACGCAACGCUUUUAACAAAAACAAUAUAUCGUACAACGCACACGUAGAAUAAUUGAAUUGCUUUUGAAUAGAGGAUUGAGAAAUAAAUUGAUACAACACAUGUAUAAGGCAGUUUUAACAUAUUUAUUAAUAUGAAAUUAUUACUAUUAUUGCUUCUUAAAAUUAUUUUAAAUAAUAUUUCUAUUCACUUUCUAUUAGCUAUUUACUGCCCUCCGUAUCGUAAAGAUCUAAAGUAAUCGCCUUUCAGAUAGAUCCAUGAAAAUGAUCGGUUCUCGGUCAAAGAUCCAUCGACGAAAGGGGGGGAAAAAUCAAGAAAAAAGAAAAAAAGAGAAAAGAAAAAUGCCAGACGUUUAAACAGUUGGAUGAGAGCUGGAGUGCAGCAAAGAGCAUUUAAUAUCAUUUACAGAUGUGCUAUAUUGGUAAAUCUUGCGUAUAAAAUCUUGCGUUGUUGGUGUCAUUUCUCUUUUCCUUUAUCCCUCCUAUCUUUAUACGUAUUACAAUAUACACGACAAAUUCGAGAUGCUUAAAUUCCAUUUCCUGUAUCUUUCUCCCGUGCGCGUAAACUAGCAAUCUACUUGGAGAUCUUGGGAAUACGUUAUCAAUUUUUCCUUUCCAUCGCCGGGAUCUAAAGAAUUUUUCAAUGGAACCCAACGUUUUCUUUCGAUUCUAUACGAACGCGCGUCGUAUGACAUCGAAGAUUACCAAAUUAGGUAGAGUAACUAUAAUAAAAGAAU